GACAGAGGAUGCAAGCGUUAUCCGGAAUUACUGGGCGUAAAGCGUGCGCAGGCGGCUUUGCAAGACAGAUGUGAAAUCCCCGGGCUUAACCUGGGAACUGCAUUUGUGACUGCAUGGCUGGAGUGCGGCAGAGGGGGAUGGAAUUCCGCGUGUAGCAGUGAAAUGCGUAGAUAUGCGGAGGAACACCGAUGGCGAAGGCAAUCCCCUGGGCCUGCACUGACGCUCAUGCACGAAAGCGUGGGGAGCAAACAGG
rnacentral:rRNA from 1 species